rnacentral:rRNA from 1 species
GAUGAACGCUGGCGGCGUGCCUAAUACAUGCAAGUCGAGCGAACAGACGAGGAGCUUGCUCCUCUGACGUUAGCGGCGGACGGGUGAGUAACACGUGGAUAACCUACCUAUAAGACUGGGAUAACUUCGGGAAACCGGAGCUAAUACCGGAUAAUAUAUUGAACCGCAUGGUUCAAUAGUGAAAGACGGUUUUGCUGUCACUUAUAGAUGGAUCCGCGCCGCAUUAGCUAGUUGGUAAGGUAACGGCUUACCAAGGCAACGAUGCGUAGCCGACCUGAGAGGGUGAUCGGCCACACUGGAACUGAGACACGGUCCAGACUCCUACGGGAGGCAGCAGUAGGGAAUCUUCCGCAAUGGGCGAAAGCUUGACGGAGCAACGCCGCGUGAGUGAUGAAGGUCUUCGGAUCGUAAAACUCUGUUAUUAGGGAAGAACAAAUGUGUAAGUAACUAUGUACGUCUUGACGGUACCUAAUCAGAAAGCCACGGCUAACUACGUG